rnacentral:tRNA from 1 species
UGCAGAUUAGUGAAACGGUAUCACGCUGGGCUCAUAAUCCAGAAUUCCUGUUCGAAUCAGGGUCU